UACGUAGGGGGGCGAGCGUUGUCCGGAUUUAUUGGGCGUAAAGAGCGUGUAGGCGGCCAGGUAGGUCCGUUGUGAAAACUCGAGGCUCAACCUCGAGACGUCGGCGGAAACCCUCUGGCUAGAGUCCGGAAGAGGAGAGUGGAAUUCCUGGUGUAGCGGUGAAAUGCGCAGAUAUCAGGAAGAACACCCGUGGCGAAGGCGGCUCUCUGGGACGGUACUGACGCUGAGACGCGAAAGCGUGGGGGAGCAAACAGG
rnacentral:rRNA from 1 species